AGAGUAAACUUAUAAGUUUAAAUAAUGUUACCGACCUUCUCUAUCGCAAGUAGCAAAGGGCUUGGUGGUUGGUACCCGAGGUCCCAAGUUCGAAUCCUAGUUGAUUCACAUUUCUAGCUAAGUUUAUUUCUAAAUAAAAUAAACGAAGCGGGUAGCAUGCUACCUAUCUCUCAGAAAAUAAUAAUAAUAAUAAUAAUGUUAUCAACGGAGGGAUCAUGAACAAAAUUGAAUUUGAGAAAAU
rnacentral:lncRNA from 1 species